GCACUUGCGGAAGCCUUUGCAGCUGGAAACAGUAGCCGGACGACUAUAAACAAUCUCGGCCUCGUGCAAGUCAGCGCUCGCUGGCAACACUUUCGAAUUGACGGGGAACCCCUAAGAGCCCUUCACACCAAACCAGCGCGGGAAACCCGCUGGCGGCCCGUGGGAAACUACGGGGUACGGUAACAGAGGAAGGGAUGACUCGAGGCCGCGAGGCCCCGAUGAAAUGGGUGAUCCGCAGCGAAGCCCCUGCCGUUGACGGUAGCACCUUCUAGGUCUCAAGGCCUAGGUGUAGGAUGGUGUCAGGUCCCGUGCCUCGACUUCUCCCUGUGCAGCCGAACGUGGGGAACGUUCACAGACUAAGUGGAAGUGGGUGGAGCCGUUGCUCUGCUUAAGAUAUAGUCGGGCCCCGCUGGAAACAGCGGGGAUAUUGAAGGUGAUCAGUUUGACACUGCAAAUAUCAAACUGAUCGCUCCUGCUAGAAACCGUUCCGUAGGUGAACCUGCGGAAGGAUCAUUACACGAAGAGACCACCAUCGGUCUUUUAACCUUGCCCAUCGUACCCUUGUGUUGUUCCCUCGGCGGGACGCGCGCGUCCGCCGGCGGGAAGCUUAACAAAACCUUUUGCAACAAGCAUCCAAAAAAACUCUGAUAACAAAAACCUAAUCGUCACAACUUUCAACAAUGGAUCUCUUGGUUCUGGCAUCGAUGAAGAACGCAGCGAAAUGCGAUAAGUAGUGUGAAUUGCAGAAUUCAGUGAAUCAUCGAAUCUUUGAACGCACAUUGCGCCCCUCGGUAUUCCGUGGGGCAUGCCUGUUCGAGCGUCAUUUACACCCUCAAGCUCUGCUUGGUGUUGGGCGUCUGUCCCCCGCCGAAAGGCGCGGACUCGCCCCAAAGGCAUUGGCAGCGGUCCCUGCCGGACUUCCCCAACAGCGCAGCACUGUUCGCGCGUCUGGGGAUCCGCGCGGGUCCAGCGUCCACGAAGCCCGAUUGCAUCGCAACUUGACCUCGGAUCAGG
rnacentral:rRNA from 1 species